rnacentral:rRNA from 1 species
UACGGAGGGCGCAAGCGUUGUUCGGCCUCACUGGGCGUAAAGCGCGUGUAGGCGGCCGAGCAAGUCGGAUGUGAAAUCCCGAGGCUCAACCUCGGAACUGCAUUCGAAACUGCUCGGCUCGAGUCCCGGAGAGGAUGGCGGAAUUCCCGGUGUAGGGGUGAAAUCCGUAGAUAUCGGGAGGAACACCAGUGGCGAAGGCGGCCAUCUGGACGGUGACUGACGCUGAGACGCGAAAGCGUGGGGAGCAAACAGG